GUCGCUGCUCUGGCAUGGGUUUGAUCCCUGAUUAGAGAACUUUCACAUGCUGUGGGUGUGGCCAAAAUUUUUUUUAAAAAAUGAUGAGAGUAAAUAAAUGGAAAAUUAAAAAGUUACUAUAAAAAGUAACGUUAUGACUUAAUGAUAUACAAAAACUCCCUUGACAUUACCUGAGAAUUAACUGACCCUAAGCUUGUAAGAAGUUUCCAUUUCCUACGUAAGAGGUGGUUUUUAAAUUUCCUUAACUACAAAUAGGGGGCCUGCCUAGUACUUUGAAGAAAACUGAGUAUUUUCAGUUUAUACUAUUAACUACUCAAAAAAGAAACUCAAACUAAGGUUUUACUUCUAAAUAUCCCUUUUUAUUAAAUGGAAUUCUACAUUAUAAAAUUAAGGUUCUUUAGGAUAUAUUUUGUCAAAUAUAUACUUUAUACUUUAAAGAUCAUUUUAAUAUAAAUAAUUCUAUUAUCAUUAACUAGUGAUACCAGAAAAGCAUUAAUAAUCACAAUUCUCAAUAUCUGUCCUUAAUUAAAACUGCUAUUAUAGAAGAGUUUUUCUACUACUGAUGUUUGAGAGUAGGCUAACAGAGAAAUCUUCAGUUAAUAAAAAUUUUUAAAAGUAUUUUAAUAUUAUAAUAAAAUGAAGAAAAAAGCUAUCCAAGGAUAAGCAAAUGUAGUUUAAAGGGAAGAUUAAAUAGUACUCAUUUCAUACUCAUUUUUACGAAACAACUAUAUAUACAUACAAAAUCUCAGCAGUCGCAUUGUGAAAAUUUUUUCAAGUUGUGUAUUUUUAAAAACCACAAGAUGGCAGCCUUUCACUGAAGACAGCUUAGUUUAGGAAGGGGUUUAAGAAAAAAA